AUCAUAGCGGAGGGGGAGGGCUGCGACUAGCUACGCCCCCUUCUCCUCCUGCUGCCUUCCCCUUCACCGCUCUACUCUUCCUCCUCCUUUCUCCUCACCGCCCUGCCCACCUUUCCAGGUGCUCUUGGGUAUUUGGAGCUUCUGGCUGUUUGCAUUUAGGAAGGAUAUUUACAGGUUUCAGGCUGCUCAACUCAUGCCAGAAGCCUAGCUCCCAUAAACGUGUUGCAGCAAAACCCAAAAAAUAGCGCCAAACUGAAUAAUGAUCAAGAAAUCUAAUGAGAAGCCUCAGAAGGUGACAUCAUCCACCCUAGAACUGUAUAAAAAGUCAACCAGAAAACCCAUGAACAUUAGGAAAGUGGGCCUUCCAGAAAAGACAGUGCAAGUGCAAACAAGACAGAAGCCUUCCAGCCUGACCAGAGAUGGACUAGAGAUACCUGUAGCUUGCAUAUCUCUAUAUUCAGAAGCAAUAAGAGGCAAAGGCUCCCAUGAUAAUGCCUAGAUUGGUUGGAAUUCACUGCAUAGAUUAUGGAAGUGACUGGGAAUGUGAAUAGGCAGUGCUUUCACCGGGACAACCCAGGCUCAGGAACUUUGAUGUUCAUAACACUCUGACCAGAGAUCCCACGAGAGCUUUGAAGAGCAAUCCAGGGGGAUCUAAAACUUAACAGUGUUAUUAGUGUAGGUACACCAUGGGAGGUGGAUAACAGUGCAAGAAUGAAGAUAACCCAGAAUGAGACCAAGCAGAACUGAUUAUCCACCCAAAAGUACAGCAGGGGGCAGAUCCUGGACCCUGGAACAAAACCCCAAAGUUAGGAAGUAAGACUGGAGAUAUAAACAAAGACAUCUAUCACUAUAUAAAAUAUUAUAUAGAUUUACAGAUACCAAAAAAAAAGAUCUAAGAGUAUUUGUACAACUUCAAAGCAAGAGACUCAAAGGAAAAAAUGGAUUUUCCAUAAGGACUACACAAAUAUCUAGAAGAAAUGAAGCAAGAUAUUGAAAAAAAAAAAAGAAAUAAAAGCUCUGAAGGGAAGAAUUAAGAGAAUAAAUGGAACAAAAAAAAUUAUAAACCUUGCCCAAGUCAUAGAUACCCUAAAAGUCAGAACAGACCAAAGAGGUCAUUGAUUUCAUGAGAUAAUGAGUAUUAGAACAAAAUCAAAAGAUUGAUAGAAAAAAAAAGAAAAUGUAGUGUCUACUAUGAAAAAUAACUGACCUGGAAAACAAUUUAAAGAGAAAAUUUACAAAUCAUCAGACUCCCUCAAAACCAUGAUUAAAAAAAAAAAGCCUGGACAUCAUAUUUUUACAAAAUUAUAAGAAAAAACUAUCCAGACCUAUUAGCAAUAGGAGGUAAAAUAGAAAUAAUCUACUUUUCCCCUCCUUAAAGAAACCAAAAAACAUUAAGACCAAGGAAUGUCAUAUCCAAAAUCCUGAAUUUUCAAGUUGAAUAAAAAAUAUUGUAAGCCAGUGCUUUAGUACAGCAUAAAUAGUAGGAGCAUAAUAAAGGUUUAUUGAUUAGCCAGAAAGAAAACAUUAAGUACUAAACCAUAAUUGGGUCUCACACAACACUUGGCAGCUUCUAUUAUAAAUCAAAGUAGAUCUUAGAAUGUAAUAUUUCAAAAGGCAAAAGAUAAAGGCUUAUAACUAAAAAUAAUUUACCCUUCAAGACUGAAUGUAAUUUUGCAGGAGAAUCUUUAAUGUAAUAGAAGACUUUCAUGAAUUCCUGAUGAGGACCUAAAAAAAAACAACUUUGAAAGGGCAGGCACAAAAGUCAAAAGUAACCUAGAAAGGUAAAUUUAUCUGAGUAUUUGCAAGGAACUGUAUUAUUGAACAGCAAGACAAAAUUAUUUUUGAACAAAUUAUGGUAUGUGUUAUCAUAGCAUAUUGUACUGUAAGAAAUAACAAGAGAGAAUUUCAUAGACUCCUGAGAAGUCAUAUGAACUAAUACAGAGUGAAAUGAGCAGAGCUGAAUAAUUUAUAUAAUAAAAACAACAUUGUAAAACAAAAGCAA